CGGUUGAAAGGUGAGUUUGCAUCCGGCUUCUUUGGGACGUUCCGCGCAUCACACUUUUGACUCUGUCUUUUUGUCUCCUGUUUCCGUCUUCUGUCUCCGUUCUCUUGUCUCCUCUUGCCCUCUUUCGCUUCCGUUCUCUUGUCUCAUGUAUUGACCUUGUCACCUUCUUUUUUUUCGUCUGGGCGGUUCACGUUCUCUGCAUCGAAAGAAGGCCUUUUCGUUCUCUGCAUCGAAAGAAGGCCUUUUCGUUCUCUGCCUAGCUCGUUUUCCCGCUCUUCCCUCAGCAGCCCCCGCCGCUCGCCGGAAAGGCUCGCCGAGGAAAAUCUUUGCGGGAAUCUUUGACGCGGUAUCUUUAACUUUCUUUCGCACAAGUGUGGGGUAGAAAGAGAGUCGUUGGAAGAACUGUUCUGGGUUUCGUCACCGUUUCAGAGCCCUCUUCUCUGGGAGUUUGCGGGGGAAGCCGUGGCCACGCGACUCCAAACGGGGCGUGGACAACCUUUGCCCGAGUUUUUCCUCCUUUCCUCCGAUCCGAACUCCAAACGAACCCUCUCUCGCCCUCCUCUUCGAAACUUUCUUCGCAUUUCAAGCCGUUGCCUGUCUUCAGGGAUUUCUCCACAAACGCCUUCUCCCCCCCGCCGAUGUACAC
rnacentral:lncRNA from 1 species